UACGGGGGGGGCAAGCGUUGUUCGGAAUUACUGGGCGUAAAGGGCUCGUAGGUGGCCAACUAAGUCAGACGUGAAAUCCCUCGGCUCAACCGGGGAACUGCAUCUGAUACUGGAUGGCUUGAGAUUGGGAGAGGGAUGCGGAAUUCCAGGUGUAGCGGUGAAAUGCGUAGAUAUCUGGAGGAACGCCGGUGGCGAAAGCGCUCGACUGGACCUCUUCUGACGCUGAGGCGCGAAAGCCAGGGGAGCAAACGGG
rnacentral:rRNA from 1 species